GAUGAACGCUGGCGGCGUGCCUAAUACAUGCAAGUCGAGCGAACGGACGAGAAGCUUGCUUUUCUGAUGUUAGCGGCGGACGGGUGAGUAACACGUGGAUAACCUACCUAUAAGACUGGGAUAACUUCGGGAAACCGGAGCUAAUACCGGAUAAUAUUUUGAACCGCAUGGUUCAAAAGUGAAAGACGGUCUUGCUGUCACUUAUAGAUGGAUCCGCGCUGCAUUAGCUAGUUGGUAAGGUAACGGCUUACCAAGGCAACGAUGCAUAGCCGACCUGAGAGGGUGAUCGGCCACACUGGAACUGAGACACGGUCCAGACUCCUACGGGAGGCAGCAGUAGGGAAUCUUCCGCAAUGGGCGAAAGCCUGACGGAGCAACGCCGCGUGAGUGACGAAGGUCUUCGGAUCGUAAAACUCUGUUAUUAGGGAAGAACAUAUGUGUAAGUAACUGUGCACAUCUUGACGGUACCUAAUCAGAAAGCCACGGCUAACUACGUG
rnacentral:rRNA from 1 species